GAAGAGAAAGAAGGAUCAGAUUUGACACAUAAAAUGUGGGGGCUUCAUCGACGUCCACGUCAUCGGUGCCCGGGGAGCAGUUGUUGUUGGGGAUUAACUGCCUUGCUCAAGUUCAGAACAGUAGAUUUUUUCAACUUGCUGGCGUGGGGAUUCGAACCGGAGACCUUUCGGUUACUGGCCCAACAUUCUUCACCGCUAGUCUACAAAUGUUACAACUUCAAUUCAUUAUUUCUCAAUGAUGCUUUAAAGUGAUUCCAUACAUUGAAACUAGUCCAGUGGAGUUCGUCCUCUCCCUCUGUCUCUCCCUGUAGUGCUGUACUGAAACAGCUGCAAAAACGUGACUAGUGAUGUUGCUGGAUUACGCGGGCCUCGUUCUGCUGCUUUGCCAGUUAAUAUGUUAUUUUAUUAAAGCUUUGGCCUUUG